AAAAAAUUAAUUAUUUAACUUUAUAUAUUUUACUUUUCUCUUUAUAUAUUAUUUCUCCUUAAGAAAAUUUCUCUCUCUUUCUCAUUCCCCAUUUUGUUUCAUUUUUUUAUUCAACUCAAUUUCAUUUCUAUAAUCAUCAAAUCAAACAAUUCAACUCCACAAGAGCAUAAACUAAACAUUCCAAAGGCUCGUAUGUAUAUCCCAACAGUUCGGGUACAUUGUGCUGACUACCCCAGCUGGUAUCAUGGACCAUGAAGAGGCUAGGAGUAAAAAUGUUGGUGGAAAGGUUCUUGGUUUCUUUUAUUGAGUCAUGUUGACGAGGAUGAAAACUUUAAUUUUGUUGUUUGUUGCCCCUUUAUAUCUACUUUUAGUUGUUUUUGCCGCUCCCAUCAAAUUGUGGUAGGAAUUUUAUUGAAAAUUUUGAGACAAUUAUCAGAAUUUGUUGAAAAAGCUUGGUGCUUGUUGACAUAAAAAAAAAUCAGUGGCUCGUACAAAGCUCUGUUGUUGCUGCAUUGCAAGUAGAAUGAUGGAAUGUCGACAAUUUGGUGUGUGUGUGUGUGGAGCAGUCAUGAUGUUUUGUUGAAGAGAAGAAAGAAAGAAAGAAGUAAGAAGAUUGAAGUAAUUGUUAAUUUUGCUAUUUUGAUGAAAUUGAAUGUGGCUCAUUUGGGGCGUGUAUGUUGAAAUAAUAAUUAAUUGAGUUAUUUUUUAUGAAA